rnacentral:rRNA from 1 species
CCUACGGGGGGCAGCAGUGAGGAAUAUUUGUCAAUGGCCGGAAGCCUGAACCAGCCAAGCCGCGUGAGGGAGGAAGGCGCAGAGCGUCGCAGACCUCUUUUGUCAGGGAAGAGUAGAAGACGGUACCUGACUAAUAAGCCACGGCUAACUACGUGACAGCAGCCGCGGUACUACGUAGGUGGCAAGCGUUGUCCGGAUUUACUGGGUGUAAAGGGCGUGUAGCCGGGUUGACAAGACAGAUGUGAAAUCCUGCGGCUAAACCGCAGAACUGCAUUUGAAACUGUUGAUCUUGAGUACUGGAGAGGCAGACGGAAUUCCUAGUGUAGCGGUGAAAUGCGUAGAUAUUAGGAGGAACACCAGUGGCGAAGGCGGUCUGCUGGACAGCAACUGACGGUGAGGCGCGAAAGCGUGGGGAGCAAACAGGAUUAGAUACCCCAGUAGUC